ACCUUCUGUCAGCAGGCUCUUGCCCACCCUGGGGCCUCCUUAUUAGCCAUCAUGUAGAAAGCAAAAAAGCUCUUCCAAGGAGCCAUCAGUCUCCUUGAUUACAGGGAAGGGAUAGUCCACUGGCGUUCACAGCUUUACAAUGGCAGAGAUCGUGAGAUCAAAGAGCAUGAACUGGAAGGGUCCUCACAGGUCACUGAGUACGAACCUGUCUUAGCCUUCAUUUCUUCAUCGAUAGUAUGAGGAUAAAAACAGCACCAAUCUCAGAGGGUUUUUAUAAGCAUCAACAAGGUAGAAGAACCAAUCAGCAGUUAAUGAUCUUCCCCGAAAAGAUCUUACCUUUAUGAGGACAGAGGACCAGCUGCCUUCUUGCAUAUUUACUCUGUAUAUAGCCGGUGCUCAGUAAGUGUGACCGAAAUGUCUCAAAGACAGAUAGGAAGAAAGGGGAUGAGAAGCAAUGUGCUGAGUUAGGUUCAUAUUCUCUCCCCCAAAUAGAAUAUAAGCUUCCUGAGGUGAGGGGAUAUUUCAAAUUUUAAAACUUGUAUUCUGUGUAGGUGAAAAUAUGUGAUUUAUCACCUGUUUAUUUGGGUAUAUGAUUUGGGGUUUUGGUUUCAUAAGAUUAUUCACUGACAAAAAUAAAUAAUAG
rnacentral:lncRNA from 1 species